rnacentral:misc_RNA from 1 species
UGGAAGUAAAAGUCGUAACAAGGUUUCCGUAGGUGAACCUGCGGAAGGAUCAUUAAUAAAUGGUCUACGUUUUUUAAGUAGACGCUUAAUAAUCCUACCUUUGUGAAUUUGUUUGUUUGAAAUAAUUUUUUUAAAAUUAUUGAAUUCUUUCCCUGUUGAAUUGGUUGUCUUUAAUGGCAAGUGAUUCGCAGGGAGUGUCAAUAAUUUUUAAAAAGACCUUUUUUAAAUUAAACUUUUGUAUUCAUUUGUCUAAAAAUUAUUUUUAUAAUAUAAAAACAACUUUUGACAAUGGAUCUCUUGGCUCUCGCAACGAUGAAGAACGCAGCAAAAUGCGAUAAGUAGUGUGAAUUGCAGAUACGUGAAUCAUCGAAUCUUCGAACGCAUAUUGCACUUUUUUAGUUUACUAAAAAAGUAUGUCUGUUUGAGUAUCAGUAAAAUAUUCUCAUAAAAACUUUUUGUUUUAUGGUUAUGAGUGUUUUACAACGAUACAAGUUGUUUCACUUUAAAUUUUUUUAAAAUUUGAAUUUUUCUAAUUUUAAAAUAAAUUGGAUAAAAUUUUCCCGUAAAAAGGAAUAACCUAAACAAUUUUAAUUUUGAUUAGAAUUCUUCAUUCUAAAGGAAAAUUUAACUAAAUAACUUGAUCUCAAAUCAGAUAAGAGUACCCGCUGAACUUAAGCAUAUCAAUAAGCGGAGGAAAGAAACUAACAAGGAUUCCCUUAGUAACGGCGAGUGAAGCGGGAAGAGCUCAAAUUUGAAAUCUUCAAGGUUUUACCUUGACGAAUUGUAGUUUAAAGAAGUGUUUUCUGUUGAAGUUUGGUAAAGUUCUUUGGAAUAGGACAUCAUAGAGGUGAGAAUCCGUAUUUGACCAUUAUUUUCAGCUGUGUGAUACACUCUCAAAGAGUCGGAUUGUUUGGGAAUGCAGUCCAAAAUGGGUGGUAAAUUUCAUCUAAAGCUAAAUAUUGGCGAGAGACCGAUAGCGAACAAGUACCGUGAGGGAAAGAUGAAAAGAACUUUGAAAAGAGAGUUAAACAGUACGUGAAAUUGUCAAAAGGGAAGCGUUUGACACCAGUGUUGUUUUCUCGAGAAUCAAUUAAAAAGAGUUGGAUUUUGUGUUGUAUUGACCUUAACAGCUUGCUUCACUCUUUUCCAGCUUUUUUAAUGCACUUUUCGUUUAACAAGUCAACAUCAGUUUCUUUUGUUGUAAAAGGGUCAUUGGAAGGUGGCUUUCUCUUCGGAGAAAGUGUUUAUAGCCUUUGAUCUCUGCAAUCGGAGAGACUGAGGUCUGCAGCGUAGAUCCUUCGGGUUAGAUACAUUUGUGCUAAGCUACAGCUUUCAUAGACAACUUGUUGACUAUGUUUAGUCUUGUGACUUACCGCUUAUGCUAUUUUACCUACGCUU